rnacentral:rRNA from 1 species
GACGAGCCACACAAACGUUAUUCGGAAUUACUGGGCUUAAAGGGUGCGUAGGCGGCGCGGAAAGUUGGGUGUGAAAUCCCUCGGCUCAACCGAGGAAUGGCGCUCAAAACUACCGUGCUCGAGGGAGAUAGAGGAGUGCGGAACUUACGGUGGAGCGGUGAAAUGCGUUGAUAUCGUAGGGAACACCGGUGGCGAAAGCGGCGCUCUGGAUCUCUUCUGACGCCGGUGCACGAAAGCUAGGGUAGCGAACGGG